rnacentral:rRNA from 1 species
GAGUUUGAUCCUGGCUCAGGACGAACGCUGGCGGCGUGCUUAACACAUGCAAGUCGAACGGGGUUAAAUGAGUAGCAAUAUGAGUUUAACCUAGUGGCGGACGGGUGAGUAACGUGUGAGGAACCAACCCAUCAGCGGGGGACAACUACGGGAAACUGUAGCUAAUACCGCAUGAGACCACAGGAUGGCAUCAUCCAGGGGUCAAAGCAGCAAUGCGCUGAUGGACGGGCUCGCAUCCCAUUAGGUAGUUGGUAGGAUAACAGCCUACCAAGCCAGCGAUGGGUAGCCGGACUGAGAGGUUGACCGGCCACACUGGAACUGAGACACGGUCCAGACUCCUACGGGAGGCAGCAGUGGGGAAUAUUGGGCAAUGGGCGAAAGCCUGACCCAGCAACGCCGCGUAAGGGAAGAAGGUCUUCGGAUUGUAAACCUUUGUCGUAGAGGACGAAAGAAAUGACGGUACUCUGCAAGAAAGCCCCGGCUAACUACGUGCCAGCAGCCGCGGUAAUACGUAGGGGGCGAGCGUUGUCCGGAAUUACUGGGCGUAAAGGGUGCGUAGGCGGCCUAUCAAGUCGUAUGUGAAAAGCCCGGGCUUAACCUGGGAGGGUCAUGCGAAACUGAUAGGCUUGAGUACAGGAGAGGGAAGCGGAAUUCCUAGUGUAGCGGUGAAAUGCGUAGAUAUUAGGAGGAACACCAGUGGCGAAAGGCGGCUUUCUGGACUGACACUGACGCUGAAACACGAAAGCGUGGGGAGCAAACAGGAUUAGAUACCCUGGUAGUCCACGCGGUAAACGAUGGAUACUAGGUGUAGGACGCGAUUAGCGGACUGUGCCGGAGCAAACGCAAUAAGUAUCCCGCCUGGGGAGUACGGCCGCAAGGUUGAAACUCAAAGGAAUUGACGGGGGCCCGCACAAGCAGCGGAGCAUGUGGUUUAAUUCGAAGCAACGCGAAGAACCUUACCAGGUCUUGACAUCCAAUUAAAGCUAGUGAAAGCUAGUGUCCCUUCGGGGGAAUUGAGACAGGUGGUGCAUGGUUGUCGUCAGCUCGUGUCGUGAGAUGUUGGGUUAAGUCCCGCAACGAGCGCAACCCUUAUUGCCAGUUACCAGCGGGUAAAGCCGGGGACUCUGGUGAGACUGCCGGGGACAACUCGGAGGAAGGAGGGGACGACGUCAAAUCAUCAUGCCCCUUAUGACCUGGGCUACACACGUGCUACAAUGGCCGAAACAGAGGGAAGCAAGAGCGUAAGCUGGAGCCAAGCCCAAAAAGACGGUCCCAGUUCGGAUUGUGGGCUGCAACCCGCCCACAUGAAGUCGGAGUUGCUAGUAAUCGCGAAUCAGCAUGUCGCGGUGAAUGCGUUCCCGGGCCUUGUACACACCGCCCGUCACACCAUGGGAGUUGAGAGCACCCGAAGCCGGUGAGGUAACCGCAAGGGACCAGCCGUCGAAGGUGAGAUCGAUGACUAGGGUGAAGUCGUAACAAGGUAACC